rnacentral:snoRNA from 1 species
ACUGCCCCUAGAGGCGUUGCAGGUGUGGCUGCCGUGUCAUGUCUGAGUCAUGAGGUGGCAGAGAGCAGAGAGGCUUAGUCUAUGCCCAGUGUUCUGGCUGGUGGACAUCUGGAUGAUUGAUAGUCUGACACU